CAGGACAUGGGCUGUAACUUGUAACCCUGGGUAUGAUGGGCUAAUUCCGAGUGCUGGCACUGACUCAACUGUAAACUUGUGGACGGCUCCUACAUCCGCUGAAGAUGAGGCAACCUCUGAAAGCAUAGCUGAAUGGCCAGCUCAACUGGCUGACCCAUUGCUUAAUUC